rnacentral:rRNA from 1 species
AGUGAACGCUGGCGGCAGGCCUAACACAUGCAAGUCGAACGGCAGCACAGAGGAGCUUGCUCCUUGGGUGGCGAGUGGCGGACGGGUGAGGAAUGCGUCGGAAUCUGCCUUUUUGUGGGGGAUAACGUAGGGAAACUUACGCUAAUACCGCAUACGACCUACGGGUGAAGGUGGGGGACCGCAAGGCCCCCCGCAAAAAGAUGAGCCACCGCCGGAUUAGCUAGUUGGCGGGGUAAAGGCCCACCAAGGCGACGAUCCGUAGCUGGUCUGAGAGGAUGAUCAGCCACACUGGGACUGAGACACGGCCCAGACUCCUACGGGAGGCAGCAGUGGGGAAUAUUGGACAAUGGGCGCAAGCCUGAUCCAGCCAUGCCGCGUGUGUGAAGAAGGCCUUCGGGUUGUAAAGCACUUUUGUCCGGAAAGAAAUCCUUUCGAUUAAUACUCGGGAGGGAUGACGGUACCGGAAGAAUAAGCACCGGCUAACUUCGUGCCAGCCGCCGCGGUAACAC